UUGCCAGCACAUAUACUAAAAUUAUGAAGAUACAGAGAAGAUUAGCGUGGUCCCUGAGCAAGGAUGACAGCAAAUUUGUGAAGCAUUCCAUAUUUUU
rnacentral:snRNA from 1 species